GCCCAUGUAGUGUGUCGCCGGCUUGCGUCCGCCGCCGCCGCCUGACCGAAAGCGACGCAGCCAUGGCCGGAGCUGCUGCCGAUCGCCGCCGCGCUCCCCUCCCCUUUCCCCACAUUCCGGCGGCCGGCGCGGCCGGCGGGCCCACUUCUCGCUCUCGUUGCAGAUACACCUAAUAUUACAGUACCUCCAAGCAGCCACAUCAUAUGGUCAUCUUUACCAGUUCUUGUUUGACAUUCCUUCUUUAAACAUGCAGGAUCUUUCCUGUUUGGCCCAUACCAAAUCGAGCAGUCCUUUUCCAUGCCUGUAUUCAAGUGGGACGUGAUCAGCUAGCUCCAGAUUCUCCUUAGCAAAAGGUGAAGAAAGAAAAGAAAAGGUGAAGGAAAAGAAAAGUACCACUAAGUCAAUAUGCCAAAGGUCUUCCCUCAUCAAUACAUAAGCUAUUUCGUCUGGAACUUGUGGAAAGAAAGAAGGGGAGAAUAAAAGUGCAACAUGG